UGGGGAAUUUUGGACAAUGGGCGAAAGCCUGAUCCAGCAAUGCCGCGUGUGUGAAGAAGGCCUUCGGGUUGUAAAGCACUUUUGUCCGGAAAGAAAUCCUUGGCUCUAAUACAGUCGGGGGAUGACGGUACCGGAAGAAUAAGCACCGGCUAACUACGUGCCAGCAGCCGCGGUAAUACGUAGGGUGCAAGCGUUAAUCGGAAUUACUGGGCGUAAAGCGUGCGCAGGCGGUUUGCUAAGACCGAUGUGAAAUCCCCGGGCUCAACCUGGGAACUGCAUUGGGUGACUGGCAGGCUAGAGUAUGGCAGAGGGGGGUAGAAUUCCACGUGUAGCAGUGAAAUGCGUAGAGAUGUGGAGGAAUACCGAUGGCGAAGGCAGCCCCCUGGGCCAAUACUGACGCUCAUGCACGAAAGCGUGGGGAGCAAACAGGAUUAGAUACCCUGGUAGUCCACGCCCUAAACGAUGUCAACUAGUUGUUGGGGGAAUUCAUUUUCCUUAGUAACGUAGCUAACGCGUGAAGUUGACCGCCUGGGGAGUACGGUCGCAAGAUUAAAACUCAAAGGAAUUGACGGGGUCAUAGCUGUUUCCU
rnacentral:rRNA from 1 species